AGUCUUCUAGCUAUAAGUAGAAGUUGAGAUGUGAUGGCUUCCCAAAGCCCUAUAAAUAGAGGUCUGCACCUCUAGUUUGUAACUCAGCCUAUGUACCCAUAAUAGAACUUGGUGUUCUUAUCUAAGAUCUUGGACUAGAUCUUGUGCUUUAGGAGUUUUGGAUUGAACUCCUGCUGCCAUGUUGAAAUAGUUCCUUCUCACCAGUGUUUUACACUUUGUAGCAGCAAGAUGGAAUUGUUCCUCCACAACCUUGUGUUGCUUCAAUAACCCUGGGACCCAAAGACGGGCGACACCCCUAAUUACAACACCCCGCCAAUAAAUGGUAGGUACCGCCCCCAACGGUAGCAACGCCGCAAGACCUCUCGCACCUGCCGUUGCCCAUUGCCUAGUCUCUGCCUUGAUAGUGUCAAGGAGGCGGGCUAUGCUGAGCUGAGUGUUGUCGAAGAUGACCACGUUACCAUGCUUCCAAACGCACCAUGCCACCAACAUGAUGAUCGAGGAUAUGCCCUUCCUAGCACGCUUGUUGCCACCAGUCCACAAAAUCAUCACCUGCUGGGGGUGGGGAGGUCGUUGAUCGGAUCCAAGAGAGCACCUAAUGCCACAUGGUGCAUCAAAAAGAGCAGCCAGUGAGAAGGUGCGCCAUCGUCUCCUCCGACUGGUCGCAAAGCACACAGCUAGGUGCAUCUUGCAAGCUUCGUCUUACCAGUCCCUCAGCGGUCCAGCAACGAUCUUGACAGGCAAGCCACACGAAGAAGUUGACCCUGGGGGAGCCCAAGGCUUCCAGUUCAAGAGUAUUGUAUCAGCUCUUGGUGUACUAUCCGUCCAGGGUCCAACGCCACAGGAGGACGUCCGGCGAGGCCGAAAGCAACACCCCGCUCACCAUUCACCAAAAAACCUGGAUGUACUUCUGAAGGGACAGCGGGCUUANNN
rnacentral:lncRNA from 1 species